rnacentral:rRNA from 1 species
GAGUUUGAUCCUGGCUCAGGAUGAACGCUGGCGGUAUGCUUUACACAUGCAAGUCGUACGAGAGUUUUUAACUCAAGUGGCGGACGGGUGAGUAACACGUAAGAAUUUGCCUUUAGGAGGGGGACAACAACUGGAAACGGUUGCUAAUACCCCAUAUGCUUUCGAGUGAAAUGGAUUUUUCCGCCUAGAGAGAAGCUUGCGGCUGAUUAGCUUGUUGGUAAGGUAAUGGCUUACCAAGGCGACGAUCAGUAUCUGGUUUGAGAGGAUGAUCAGACACACUGGAACUGAGACACGGUCCAGACUCCUACGGGAGGCAGCAGUGGGGAAUUUUCCGCAAUGGGCGAAAGCCUGACGGAGCAAUACCGCGUGAGGGAUGACGGCCUAUGGGUUGUAAACCUCUUUUUUCAGGGAGGAAUCAAUGACGUGUACCUGAAGAAUAA